rnacentral:tRNA from 1 species
GGAGAGAUGGCUGAGUGGCCGAAAGCGGCACGGUGCUAACGUGUUAUCCUUUAACGAGGAUCUAGGGUUCGAAUCCCUAUCUCUCCGCC